ACUUGACUGUCUUGACUUGGGACUUGACUUGUAAAACAAUGAUUUGGUCCCACCUCUGCACCAAAGUUAUUUACCCCUCUAUUAUUACAAUGUGUUUAUGGUACCCAUCAUACCUCCCGUAGCACCAUGUCUUCAUUCUGUACAUGUGUGUACAGUUUUGCAUGCAUUGCAUGCUUUUGUCAUGUCGUGUGCAUUGAUCACAACAUGCCCCCUGCUCUACCCAUUAGCCCGGCAUUUGGAUCAGUUAUCCUGACCCACUGGACCUACACAGUCCAGCCUGUCUUAUUCUUCUGUCACCAGAGCUUUUCACUAUCUCAGUCUCUUGCUCUCUCGCCCCCUCUUCCACCUCAAUUCCCACUGCAUCUCACGGGUCACGGCGUUGCCGCUCAUCUUACUCAGGGGGGCUUAGCACAAGUAUUUUUUGCUCCCACAGCAGCUUACAUCGACAAGAUCCGCUUGUCACUGGCAUUGCCAACCAUCUCAUGCCUCAUCAGAAUGAGCCAGAAAAGGCUACAGCUCCCUGCUUUUUUCCAGUCCUUUCAGCAGUGCUUUAUUACAUAACACGCACAAUUGUUGUUUUCAUUAGCGUGUUAAUCGUUAAUGUGGUAGAUAGUGUGAAAAUAUGUGUGGCGGCUGAGAUGGAUUCUUUCAUUAAGCAAAUCCUGCAGUCAUGCUGUGGAAAAGUGGGAGCCUUGAUAAAUAUUGGCUGGUAACUAAGUAACGAGCCUUGACAUUAUAAAACAUCAGGUUGUCAAAUGCUAGCUAGUCAUCAUGGCUUUUCUUGUUUAUUAUUUAUUUACAUCCCCAUUUACUGUUACCUUGGCAACAACUGCUCUUCCUGGGGUCCAUUUGAGAUAUACAUUCAGUUCAAAUGCUUACACAUAACGGCUAUAAUCUCCAUCCAUUAAAGUCAGUAUGACUUCAAUUUCAUUCAUCACUAAUCUGUUUGCUCAGUGAUGAAAAACAUUUUGGUCUAAUUGCUUUGCUAGAGGUUUGUUUUUCUUCACUUUGGCUCUUCUCCAUUUUGUGCUAUAUAUAUAUAUAUAAUCAUUUGCAGCUGCUUAAAGGCAUAGUUUGGGUGUUUUGAAGUGGGGUUGUAUGAGGUACUUAUCCACAGUUAGUAGGUGUAUUACUUACGGUAGAUGACAGUCGGUGUGCUCCCAGCAUUGCAAGGCAGACAGGAGCACCGACACCGGAGCAAAGCAAUACAGUGCUGUGGAUGGGGCCGACAGAAAACCUUAUUUUAGCCACCUAAAACAAAGGCUCACCUAAAAAAAAAUCUAUAUUAGCUUAAGUAUAUGUUAUAUUUACAAUAUUUUCCGACAGCGAACUGAACUGAAAGUUAAACAUAUCUAUACUGUGUUUGUCAUCUGAGCGUGUUGGCUUUGGAGAGAGCGUAGAAAGGUUACAUUUUCAGUUCAGUUCCCCGUCGGAAAGGAGAAGGAAAGGGCUGUCUGACAGCAAGAUAAAGCGGGGAAAAUACAUCUC